UCCGUAGGCGGUGUGGCAAGUCGGUAGUGAAAUCUCUCGGCUUAACUGAGAGGCUGCUGCCGAAACUGCCAUGCUCGAGUGCGAGAGAGGCGAGUGGAAUUGCGGGUGUAGCGGUGAAAUGCGUAGAUAUCCGCAGGAACAUCCGAGGCGAAAGCGGCUCGCUGGAUCGGCAACUGACGCUGAGGGACGAAAGCUAGGGGAGCAAACAGGAUUAGAUACCCUGGUAGUCCUAGCCCUAAACCAUCAGGACUUCGGGGUUUGCCCUGUACGGGGCAAGUCCCGGAGCUAACGCGUUAACGUCCUGCGCCUGGGGAGUACGGUCGCAAGGCUGAA
rnacentral:rRNA from 1 species